rnacentral:lncRNA from 1 species
GUGUGUGGUGAUGUGUUGAGUCUGUGGGGUUACAAAGAAACAAGAGUCUACAGAUACAAAGAUAUUCCGUAUCAGGAGUCUAUAUUAUGAACAUUAUGUACGGAUGCAUGGCCCAGGGACACAGCACUUCUGCCUUGCCACCCCUCCCAGCCUCACCUUCUGUGAGUGCCUCUGUCAGCACCAAAGUGGUGCUUGCUCCACGCCUGCCCGUCUUGCCCAGAGCCCAGUGCUGGACAUGGACACGGGCAGACAGAAUUCACCAGGGAAUGAAUGGCAUGUCUGCAGGUGCACUCAGGUACAGCGCAUAAAUUCAGAUUUGGAGAGCUUAUGUUCCAUCAUAAAUUGGGCUGGCAGACUUCCGAUGAACAAGAUAAAGCUGUCUCCUGUGAGCACCUUCCCCGGUUGCCGACACUUCCAGCCAGCUUCUGGGCCAGCCUGCCAGCAUCACCUGUCAGUGAGGCCGAGAUCAGCACCCCUGAGGGAGCUCCACCUGGCCCCUCGGAGCCACUGUUUCUCACCCACUGUAGGAUCCGUUCAGUUGGAGUGUCUCUGAGCACCCUGGUCUGCCCAGGGCCUUGGCAGCAUGUCAGGAAACCUUUGGGGCCAGAAUAUGUACUGACGUG